rnacentral:rRNA from 1 species
CCUACGGGUGGCAGCAGUGGGGGAUAUUGCACAAUGGGGGGAACCCUGAUGCAGCGACGCCGCGUGGGUGAAGAAGCGCCUCGGCGCGUAAAGCUCUGUCAGUAGGGAAGAAAAUGACGGUACCUGUAGAAGAAGCCAUGGCUAAAUACGUGCCAGCAGCCGAGGUAAUACGGAGGGUGCAAGCGUUAUCCGGAUUUACUGGGUGUAAAGGGGGUGUAGACGGCGAUGCAAGCCAGGAGUGAAAGCCCGGGGCCCAACCCCGGGACUGCACGUGGAACUGCGUGGCUGGAGUGCAGGAGGGGCAGGCGGAAUGCGUGGUGUAGCGGUGAAAUGCGUAGAUAUCAGGAGGAACACCGAUGGCGAAGGCAGCCGGCUGGACUGCAACUGACGUUGAGGCCCGAAAGCGUGGGGAGCAAACAGGAUUAGAUACCCCAGUAGUC